rnacentral:rRNA from 1 species
GGACGGGUGAGUAACGCGUGAGGAACCUGCCUUGAAGAGGGGGACAACAGUUGGAAACGACUGCUAAUACCGCAUGAAGCAUAGGGGUCGCAUGAUUCUUAUGCCAAAGAUUUAUCGCUUCAAGAUGGCCUCGCGUCUGAUUAGCUAGUUGGCGGGGUAACGGCCCACCAAGGCGACGAUCAGUAGCCGGACUGAGAGGUUGAACGGCCACAUUGGGACUGAGAUACGGCCCAGACUCCUACGGGAGGCAGCAGUGGGGAAUAUUGGGCAAUGGGCGCAAGCCUGACCCAGCAACGCCGCGUGAAGGAAGAAGGCUUUCGGGUUGUAAACUUCUUUUAAGAGGGAAGAGCAGAAGACGGUACCUCUAGAAUAAGCCACGGCUAACUACGUGCCAGCAGCCGCGGUAAUACGUAGGUGGCAAGCGUUGUCCGGAUUUACUGGGUGUAAAGGGCGUGCAGCCGGGUCUGCAAGUCAGAUGUGAAAUCCAUGGGCUCAACCCAUGAACUGCAUUUGAAACUG